rnacentral:rRNA from 1 species
AUGAACGCUGGCGGCGUGCCUAAUACAUGCAAGUCGAACGAGGUGCUUUUGUAGCAAUACGAGAGUAUCCUAGUGGCGAACGGGUGAGUAACGCGUUGGUGACCUGCCCCAAAGUGUGGGAUAACAGUCCGAAAGGAUUGCUAAUACCGCAUGUGGUCUCUGGAUUUAGAAACCGGUGACUAAAGCAGUAAUGCGCUUUGGGAGGGACCUGCGUCCCAUCAGCUAGUUGGUGAGGUAACGGCUCACCAAGGCGACGACGGGUAGGGGACCCGAGAGGGUGGCCCCCCACAAUGGAACUGAAACACGGUCCAUACACCUACGGGUGGCAGCAGUAGGGAAUAUUGCUCAAUGGGCGAAAGCCUGAAGCAGCAACGCCGCGUGUGCGAUGAAGGUCUUCGGAUCGUAAAGCACUUUUCUGCGAGAUGAGAAAGGACAGUAUCGUAGGAAUAAGUCUCGGCUAACUACGUGCCAGCAGCCGCGGUAACACGUAGGAGGCGAGCGUUAUCCGGAUUCACUGGGCGUAAAGCGCAUGCAGGCGGUUUGGUAAGUUGGGCGUGAAAGCUCCCGGCUCAACUGGGAGAGGUCGUUCAAUACUACCGAACUGGAGAGUAGAAGAGGAAGAUGGAAUUCCCGGUGUAGUGGUGAAAUGCGUAGAUAUCGGGAGGAACACCAGUGGCGAAGGCGAUCUUCUGGUCUAUUUCUGACGCUCAUAUGCGACAGCUAGGGUAGUAAACGGGAUUAGAUACCCCGGUAGUCCUAGCCGUAAACUCUGAGAACUUGAUUGAAGGGUCCCCCAUAGCCUUUCAGUCGUAGCGAAAGUGUUAAGUACUCCGCCUGGGGAGUAUGGUCGCAAGGCUGAAACUCAAAGAAAUUGACGGGGGCUCACACAAGCGGUGGAGGAUGUGGCUUAAUUCGAGGCUACGCGAAGAACCUUAUCCUAGUCGUGACAUGCAUUUCUAAGUCGGUGAAAGCCGGCGACCGUAGCAAUACGGAACUUGCACAGGUGCUGCAUGGCUGUCGUCAGCUCGUGUCGUGAGAUGUCGCGUUAAGUCGCUUAACGAGUGAAACCCUUGUCCUUAGUUACCAGCGGGUCAUGCCGGGGACUCUAAGGAGACUGCCGGUGUUAAACCGGAGGAAGGCGGGGAUGACGUCAAGUCCUCAUGGCCUUUAUGACUAGGGCUGCACACGUCCUACAAUGGCGGGCACAGAGGGAUGCAAACUCGUGAGAGCAAGCUAAACCCAAAAAUCCCGCCCCAGUUCGGAUUGCAGGCUGCAACUCGCCUGCAUGAAGCCGGAAUCGCUAGUAAUCGCGGGUCAGCAUACCGCGGUGAAUGUGUUCCUGAGCCUUGUACACACCGCCCGUCAAGCCACGAAAGUGGGAGGCAUCCGACAACGCUGUCGUAACCCGCAAGGGAGCAAGGCGUCUAAGAUGAAUUCCGUGAUUGGGACU